rnacentral:rRNA from 1 species
GACGAACGCUGGCGGCGUGCUUAACACAUGCAAGUCGAACGGAAAGGCCCUGCUUUUGUGGGGUGCUCGAGUGGCGAACGGGUGAGUAACACGUGAGUAACCUGCCCUUGACUUUGGGAUAACUUCUGGAAACUGGGGCUAAUACCGGAUAGGAGCUCCUGCUGCAUGGUGGGGGUUGGAAAGUUUCGGCGGUUGGGGAUGGACUCGCGGCUUAUCAGCUUGUUGGUGGGGUAGUGGCUUACCAAGGCUUUGACGGGUAGCCGGCCUGAGAGGGUGACCGGCCACAUUGGGACUGAGAUACGGCCCAGACUCCUACGGGAGGCAGCAGUGGGGAAUAUUGCACAAUGGGCGGAAGCCUGAUGCAGCAACGCCGCGUGCGGGAUGACGGCCUUCGGGUUGUAAACCGCUUUCGCCUGUGACGAAGCGUGAGUGACGGUAAUGGGUAAAGAAGCACCGGCUAACUACGUG